CCACCCGUGUCUAUCGUACCUUGUUGCUUCGGCGGGCCCGCCGUUUCGACGGCCGCCGGGGAGGCCUUGCGCCCCCGGGCCCGCGCCCGCCGAAGACCCCAACAUGAACGCUGUUCUGAAAGUAUGCAGUCUGAGUUGAUUAUCGUAAUCAGUUAAAACUUUCAACAACGGAUCUCUUGGUUCCGGCAUCGAUGAAGAACGCAGCGAAAUGCGAUAAGUAAUGUGAAUUGCAGAAUUCAGUGAAUCAUCGAGUCUUUGAACGCACAUUGCGCCCCCUGGUAUUCCGGGGGGCAUGCCUGUCCGAGCGUCAUUGCUGCCCUCAAGCACGGCUUGUGUGUUGGGCCCCCGCUCCCCCUCUCCCGGGGGACGGGCCCGAAAGGCAGCGGCGGCACCGCGUCCGGUCCUCGAGCGUAUGGGGCUUUGUCACCUGCUCUGUAGGCCCGGCCGGCGCCAGCCGACACCCAACUUUAUUUUUCUAAGGUUGACCUCGGAUCAGGUAGGGAUACCCGCUGAACUUAAGCAUAUCAAUA
rnacentral:rRNA from 1 species